UACGUAGGGUGCAAGCGUUGUCCGGAAUUAUUGGGCGUAAAGAGCUCGUAGGCGGUUUGUCGCGUCUGCUGUGAAAACUCGGGGCUUAACUCCGGGCCUGCAGUGGGUACGGGCAGACUAGAGUGCGGUAGGGGGAGACUGGAAUUCCUGGUGUAGCGGUGAAAUGCGCAGAUAUCAGGAGGAACACCGGUGGCGAAGGCGGGUCUCUGGGCAGUAACUGACGCUGAGGAGCGAAAGCGUGGGGAGCGAACAGG
rnacentral:rRNA from 1 species